GAUGAACGCUGGCGGCGUGCCUAAUACAUGCCAGUCGAACGCUUCACUUCGGUGAAGAGUGGCGAACGGGUGAGUAAUACAUAAGUAACCUGGCAUCUACAGGGGGAUAACUGAUGGAAACGUCAGCUAAGACCGCAUAGGUGUAGAGAUCGCAUGAACUCUAUAUGAAAAGUGCUACGGGACUGGUAGAUGAUGGACUUAUGGCGCAUUAGCUUGUUGGUAGGGUAACGGCCUACCAAGGCGACGAUGCGUAGCCGACCUGAGAGGGUGACCGGCCACACUGGGACUGAGACACGGCCCAGACUCCUACGGGAGGCAGCAGUAGGGAAUUUUCGGCAAUGGGGGAAACCCUGACCGAGCAACGCCGCGUGAAGGAAGAAGUAAUUCGUUAUGUAAACUUCUGUCAUAGAGGAAGAACGGUGGAUAUAGGGAAUGAUAUCCAAGUGACGGUACUCUAUAAGAAAGCCACGGCUAACUACGUG
rnacentral:rRNA from 1 species